rnacentral:pre_miRNA from 1 species
CAACUACUCCCUCUGUUCCGAAUUACUUGUCUUGGAUUUGUAUAGAUACGGAGGUAUCUAGCACUAAAAUGAGUCUAGAUACCUCCGUAUCUAGACAAAUCCAAGACAAGUAAUUCGGAACGGAGGGAGUACAAA